rnacentral:rRNA from 1 species
GGCAACCCUGAUCCAGCCAUGCCGCGUGUGUGAAGAAGGCCUUAGGGUUGUAAAGCACUUUCAGUAGGGAGGAAGGCCCAGUAGUUAAUACCUGCAGGGAUUGACGUUACCUACAGAAGCAGCACCGGCUAACUCCGUGCCAGCAGCCGCGGUAAUACGGAGGGUGCAAGCGUUAAACGGAAUUACUGGGCGUAAAGCGCGCGUAGGCGGUUUGUUAAGUGAGAUGUGAAAGCCCAGGGCUCAACCUUGGAACUGCAUCUCAUACUGGCAGGCUAGAGUACGGUAGAGGGGGGUAGAAUUCCA